rnacentral:misc_RNA from 1 species
GAUUUAUUGUUUUAAUUUUAUUCUCAGUUUGAUUAAGUUUUUUGGUUUGCUGUUUUUGGGUGAUGUGCUUAUUGUCACAACUCAUGUACAUUUUGAAUCUUUCUUUCAGUUCUAUCAUCUAUGCACUAGGUGAUGUGCUUAUGGUUACUUAAUGUGCUCUUCUGCACUCAAAUACUCAUGAUCAUCGGACCUGCUUGUUGUAAUCAUUGAUAUGACCAUUUUAACCAAUAAAUAGACUAAUCUUAAAUUUCAAUUGAGGGUGUUUGAACACUGCUGUGAAGGUGAGACAUUUGAACUUGCCCAUAUAUUCACAGAAGAUACAUAUUCUGAUAGAUAUUCCUGCUUUGUUGCAUUUACAGAAUAAGAAUGUUCUGAUAGAUAUUCCUUUGUUGCAUUCUAAGUCGGAAUGGGUAUACCUUGAUGCAGACAAAAUUUAAAUCUUACAUGG